ensembl:lncRNA
CUGCGACAAAGACACAAAUGUAGAUUAGAGAUUAGAGAGUGGGAUACUUCAUCACAAUGCUUAAAACAUAAUGAGCUCCUCGUCUGUGAUUUGGAGAUGAUGGCUUCCGUGUGACAAGUUACAGGCUUGUCCCAUCGCUGCAACUGGGGAGGCGGACAUUAUUAUGAGCCGUCCUCCCCUCAGCAGCCUCCACUGAGGGAAACAAUUCCUUUGCUUGAAGGCAUCUUAACCACAGAUGAGGAGUACCCGACCUCGGUCGCGCAAGAUGACCUCAGGAGAACCAUGGGUGUUGAAGACAUCAUCGCCUUGGAGGUGGCCUCGCCAGUCUGGUCCUUGAUGGGUAUCAUACACAAGAAAAUACAUUUUGGGUUCCAAGCAGCCUUUUUAAAUGGGUUACAGAAGGGAAUGUAGAGUUAAGUACAUUCUCUUCCUUGACAGACCUUCAUGGGUAUUGCCUCCACCAACUUGGUAAAGUAAUCGGUCGCCAUCAGGCUAGACUGGUACUCACUUAAGCAGAAGGUGACAAAUUGAAACAUUGUGUUCUCUCUGAUAUGACAUUCAUUGAAAUCAUAACAAAUUUGAGAUAUAAUAGAAUGUGAUCGAUGAACAAACUGUUAUUACACAUGCCCAGCUGUCCACAUCAUUGACAAUCCCUUGCAAAAAAAAGUGUAUGUUGAUUUUGGCAAUCAUGCGCUUCACUCAGAAAUGGCCAACAUGCAUCUCGGUCAGCAUGGGUUCCUUCUCCUCAGUGAAAAUCACCCACCUGUGUGGCUGGCCACCCUUCCCCCGUAGGUACAUGUGAUUGCCUAACAAGUUUGAAGACAAGAGUUGUUGUAGUACUCAAGUCUAAGUCAUUUUGCACAACUGACUUUCUCUCCAUCUUUCACUCUUUUCCCACCUCUCUUUCAUUCUCUCCCUUUAUUUCUCCCUACUCUCUCUUUGUCUGUGUGUCUGUCUAGCAAAGACACCAAGUUAAGGGCAGUUGGAAUGACCAUAAUUGCUUAGACCUAUCCAUUUGAUUGAUCAGAGUUAACUUAUAACUAGACACCUCAAUAUGACAGUCAUAUAACUAAAUGUAUAACUAGCAACUUCUGGAUGAUCAACUACCUAGAUGGAAAAUGGCUGUACAUAGCUAAAUCCUUCCAGUUAUGUAAAAGAAGCGAACUGCUUAAUGUUACCCUGAAUUAGAGGUUGACCGAUUAUGAUUUUUCAACGCAGAUACCGAUACCGAUU